AUGGCCUUCACAGACGCAAGGUUUUGCAGCUACGCCCCUCAAGUCUCUCCGUCCCAUCCACGUCCAGCGGUGGUCCCAGGAGGCGCACCGCGUCCACGUCCAGCGGUGGUCCCAGGAGGCGCACCGCAUCCACAUCCAACUGUGGUCCCAGGAGUCCCACCGCGUCCACGCUCAUUGGGGUUCCUACUUCCUCCUUUCGAAGAGGUUCUGCCUGUCCAGGUUCUGCGGUGGUGCCAGGGGUUGCACCGCAUCCACAUCCAGCGGUGGUCUCAGGGGGCGCAUCGCAUCCACGUCCAGUGGUGGUUCCAGAGGUCGCACCACAUCCUCGUCCAGCAGAGAUUACACCCUCGUCUUUCCAAGAGACUCCGCCUGUCCAGGUCCAGCGGUGGUCCCAGGGUCCGCACCACAUCCAUGUCGAGCGGGGGUUCCACCUCCGUCUGUCCGAGAGGCUCCGUCUGUCCUGCUCCAAUGGUGGUCCCGAGGGUCGCAUCGCAUCCUGUCCCAGCAGUGGUCCCAAAGGUCGCAUCGCAUCAUGUCCCGGCGGUGGCCCCAAAGGUCGCAUCGCAUCCUGCUCCGGCGGUGGUCCCGGAGGUCGCAUCGCAUCCUGCUUCGGCGGUGGUCCCGGAGGUCGCAUCGCAUCCUGCUUCGGCGGUGGUCCCUGAGGACGCAUCGCAUCCUGUUCCGGCAGUGGUCCCGGAGGACGCAUCGCAUCCUGCUUCGGCGGUGGUCCCGGAGGACGCACCGCAUCAGGUCCAGCCCGUCCACGAGGCUCAGGUCCAGCCUGUUCCAGAUUUCCCGUCUCCAGAGUUCCCAGAGUCUACACCAGUCCCAGAGUCUACGUCCCUGUCUCCAGAGUUCCCAUCUCCACCAGUCCCAGAGUCUACGUCCCUGUCUCCAGAGUGCCCUCUGUCCCCUCAGUCUCUAGAGUCCACUCUUAGUCAUAGUCCUGUGUCCCCUCUUAGUCGUGGUCCAGUGUCCCCUCUUAGUCGUGGUCCAGUGUCCCCUCUUAGUCGUGGUCCAGAGUCCCCUCAGUGUCUUAGUCUUAGUCCAGAGUCCCCUCUCAGUCCUCGUCCUCCAGUGUCCUCUAUCCCCCGACUUCCGCAGUCCAGGCUCCUGGUUCCCCGUCGCCAGCCCCCCAGACUCCCGCAGUCCCGGCUCCUUGUUCCCCGUCGCCGGCCCCCCAGACUCCUGCGGUCCCGGCUCCUGGUUCUCCGUAGCUGGCCCCCCAGACUCCCGCAGUCCCGGCUCCUGGUUCCCCGCCGCCGGUCCCCCAGACUCUUCUGGCCCUUCUUCCUGGUCCCCCUCCUCCCGCCCUACUCUGGCCCUCCAUCCUGGUCCCCCUCCUCCCGCCCUGCUCUGGUUUCCUGUGGGCAUCUUGAAUCUGCCCUUGACGGGGGUUUUUGUCAUGACUCCCAUCCUUCACCCUCCUCUGCCUCCUCGUUUAACCUUCAUUCAGCUCACCUGGUCCCUUCACCAAGCUCCUGA
rnacentral:lncRNA from 1 species